rnacentral:lncRNA from 1 species
UUCCAAACAAUGGAAUUCAUAGAACAAACUCAUGCGAAAUUAAUUAGGGCUUUGGUGGGGGCCCGACAUUCAUGACAUUAUCUUCAAUAUUGUUAACUUGAUAUGUUGAUUUUUGGAUUCUCCUUGAUGACAUAUAUGAAUUUGUUUUAUAUUUAUUGUUGAGAUACCCUUGUUCCCAUAGACGUGUGGAUGCUCGCUAAUCAGGUACGCUCUUUCUACUCUUCAACUCCAGAAUUCUAUGAAUGUGUACGUUAUCAUGAGCCAUGACCAU